GUGCUCGCUUCGGCAGCACAUAAAUACUAAAAGUGGAACGAUACAGAGAAGAUUAGCAUGGGCCCUGCGCAUGACACGCAAAUUUGUGAAGCAUUCAUAUUUUUA